rnacentral:lncRNA from 1 species
GGGUUCAACCCGUACUGUAUUUAAAUAAUAUACGGGUCCGGUAUUAAUUUUUUAAAACCCGGACAUAUCCGGGUCCGGUUUCGGGUUCAGCUGAACCCGUAUAUCCGGAACCCGGACCCGGAUAUAUUUAUAUUUAAUAUAAAUAUUAAAAAAAUCUAUGGAAAAAGAACAAAACCCUAGUUUGCACUUUUGGCUUUUAACUCAACAUGGCCGCCACCAUUUCAUCUCUUUUUCAUCUCCCAAAUUCAUCAAUUCACAGCCACCACCAUUUCCUCUCCUUUUCAUCUCCCCAACUCACCAAUUUAAAUCAUCAUCAUCAAAUCCGCCACGAUUUCAUCUCUUUUUCAUCUCCCAAAAAUUCAUUAAUUCACAACCACCACCAUUUCCUCUCCUUUUCAUCUCCCAAACUCACCAAUUUAAAUCAUCAUCAUCAAAUCGUCAUCAAUCAUCUUCAUCAUCAAAUCGUUAUCAAUCAUCAUCAAAGGCUUGAAUUCUCAGUAGCUCCUAAACUCAUUCACGGUCACGGCUGGCGGCAGAAUAUCACGCACACAAAGUGACGAAUUGGGAUUCAUGGACGUAGACGAAGCAAUCACCAACUGUACAAAUUUACUGGAUUUUCAUUCCCUGUCGCCAUUUGUGUUCUAUUUUGCUAUUAGUUUAGCUUUUGUUUGAUGAUGACAAGCCGACAAUCACAAAAUUUGGGUCUUGUUUUGCACGUUUGCUUCAUUGUUUUGUUAUAGUCUUUAAUCAAUUUCUUCUGUUUGAUUUAAAUAUUAUUCCUAUUUUGAC